rnacentral:misc_RNA from 1 species
GGAAAAUAGAAAAGAAGCGGGAAAAAGUCCUUUACUGUGAUAGCAUGUUAACGAAGAACCCGUUUGUCCAAGCUGUACCUUCUUCAGUAAAUAAGAAAUCCAAGAAAAAACCGGAAGAGGCUUCCUCAGUUAAAGAAAUCUCUCAAGAUGGUCCCAAGGUUGGCAUGCUUGAUCUGUGGGAUGAUAAAGGUGAGGUUAGAAGCAAAAAAAUCAGUAAG